UGGGGAAUAUUGCACAAUGGGCGAAAGCCUGAUGCAGCAACGCCGCGUGAGUGAUGAAGGCCUUCGGGUUGUAAAGCUCUGUCUUUUGGGACGAUAAUGACGGUACCAAAGGAGGAAGCCACGGCUAACUACGUGCCAGCAGCCGCGGUAAUACGUAGGUGGCAAGCGUUGUCCGGAUUUACUGGGCGUAAAGGAUGCGUAGGCGGAUUUUUAAGUGAGAUGUGAAAACCCUAAGCUUAACUUGGGGACUGCAUUUCAUACUGGAAAUCUAGAGUGCGGGAGAGGAGAAUGGAAUUCCUAGUGUAGCGGUGAAAUGCGUAGAGAUUAGGAAGAACACCAGUGGCGAAGGCGAUUCUCUGGACCGUAACUGACGCUGAGGCAUGAAAGCGUGGGUAGCAAACAGGAUUAGAUACCCUGGUAGUCCACGCCGUAAACGAUGAGUACUAGGUGUAGGAGGUAUCGACCCCUUCUGUGCCGCAGUUAACACAAUAAGUACUCCGCCUGGGAAGUACGAUCGCAAGAUUAAAACUCAAAUGAAUUGACGGGGGUCAUA
rnacentral:rRNA from 1 species